CUGCCGCCGGACCCAUCCAGUCAGAAAAUUAUAGUAAUCCUUUGUCAAAUUACUGUUAUCCCUGCCCUCGGCCCAACAACUUAUUGCCUGUUCCAAUGGGUAUUUUAGUCAGUAACAGAUCCUCCAUUAUUUUUCUCUCUCCUAAAUCUACUUCGUGUGAGAGACUGUAGCGGUUAUUUGCUGUCAGCAACCGCAUAGCCAACGAUGCACUCGUCGAAAUUACGCCGGAAAGUCACCACCACCGCCGCCACACCCGAUGCCGACAAGCUCGACCAGGUCCUCCUCUCCGCCGCCGUCUCCAACGGCGAAGAGUUGGCCCCCUUCGUCCGCAAAGCCUUCGCCUCCGGCAAGCCCGACACUGUCCUCCACCACCUCCGCCACUUCUCCAAAUCCAAAGAGUCCGAGAUCGAGGAAGUCUGUAAAGCUCACUACCAAGACUUCAUCAUGGCCGUCGAUGACCUCCGGUCUCUCCUCUCCGACGUCGAUUCCCUCAAAUCUUCUCUCUCCAAUUCCACCUCUAUGCUUCACUCCGUCGCUGCUCCUCUCUUGUCCUCUCUCGACUCCUUCAUCGAGGCUCGGGCCGAGUACCGCAACGUCUCUCUCGCAAUCGACUCGGUUCGAACCUGCGUUCAAUUGAUCGAGCUUUGUUCGCGAGCCAAUGUUCAUCUCUCUGAGAAUGAUUUCUACAUGGCGUUGAAAUGUGUGGACACAAUCGAGACUGAGUUUCUCGACAAAACGCCAUCGUCUACGCUCCGGAGAAUGCUGGAGAAGCAGAUUCCGGCGAUUCGGUCGCACAUCGAACGCCGAGUCAGCAAGGAAUUCGGUGAUUGGCUCGUUGAGGUUCGUAUAGUGAGUCGUAAUUUAGGCCAACUCGCUAUCGGACAAGCCUCGGCUGCGAGGCAGAGAGAAGAAGAGCUGCGUAUGAAGCAGAGGCAAGCCGAGGAACAGAGUCGACUCAGUUUGAGAGACUGUGUUUAUGCUUUGGAAGAAGAAGACGACGACGUACUGAGUGGAAUCGGUGAGGAAGGUAAGGAUGGUUAUAGUAAUAGUGGGAAUGGGAUGUUAGGGUUUGAUUUGACUCCACUCUAUCGAGCGUAUCAUAUACACAAGACGCUAGGGCUUGAAGAUCGAUUCAAAAAGUAUUAUUUCGAGAACAGAAAACUUCAAUUGACUUCGGACUUUCAGGUAUCUUCAAUGACACCUUUUCUUGAAUCUCAUCAGACUUUUUUUGCCCAAAUUGCUGGUUUCUUUAUAGUUGAAGAUCGAAUUUUGAGGACUGGUGGACAAUUGAUAUCUAAAAUGGAAGUAGAAAAUUUGUGGGAUGCUGCUGUGAGUAAAAUGUGUUCUGUAUUAGAAGACCAAUUUUCUAGGAUGCAAACAGCAAAUCAUUUGUUGUUGAUAAAGGACUACGUGAGUUUGCUCGGAGUGACUUUGCGUCGGUAUGGAUACCCUAUUGAUGCUUUGCUUGAUGUAUUGAGCAAGCACAGAGACAAGUACCAUGAGCUAUUGUUGUCUGAUUGUCGCAAACAGAUUGCAGAAGCACUUGCUGCUGAUAAGUUUGAGCAGAUGUUGAUGAAGAAAGAAUAUGAGUAUUCGAUGAAUGUGCUUUCAUUUCAGAUACAAACUUCUGAUAUUGUACCUGCAUUUCCAUAUGUUGCACCAUUUUCUUCUACAGCGCCUGAUUGUUGUCGAAUAGUACGGUCCUUUAUUGAGGAUUCGGUGAGUUUUAUGGCCUACAGUGGGCAGCUUGAUUUCUAUGAUGUUGUGAAGAAGUAUUUGGACCGGCUUCUGACUGAGGUGUUGGAUGGAGCAUUGUUGAAACUUAUUAAUACUUCCAUUCAUGGAGUCUCUCAAGGAAUGCAAGCAGCAGCAAAUAUGGCUGUAUUGGAGCGUGCUUGUGGUUUCUUCUUUCGUCAUGCAGCACAGCUUUCAGGUGUUCCUUUGAGAAUGGUGGAGAGGAGUAGGAGGCAGUUUCCGCUGAGCAAAGCCCGUGAUGCCGCUGAAGAGAUGCUUUCUGGGUUGCUUAAACAGAAAAUUGAUGGGUUCUUGACACUGAUUGAGAAUGUGAACUGGAUCGCAGAUGACCCUUCUCAAAAUGGGAAUGAAUAUGUGAAUGAAGUAAUUAUAUAUUUGGAAACUCUGGUUUCCAGUGCUCAGCAGAUAUUGCCAGUUCAGGUUCUUAAAAGAGUUUUACUAGAUGUUCUUUCUCACAUAUCAGAGAUGAUUGUUGGGGCUUUACUUGGGGAAUCAGUUAAGAGGUUUAGCAUAAAUGCUAUCAUGGGUAUUGAUGUUGAUAUUCGGUUGUUGGAAUCAUUUGCGGAAAAUCAGGCUUCUCUUUUGUCAGAUGCAGAUGCGAAUCAGUUGAAAACUGCUCUUGCAGAGGCAAGGCAAUUGAUUAAUUUGCUCUUGAGCAAUCAUCCAGAAAAUUUCUUAAAUCCAGUAAUCAGGGAAAGAAGUUAUAAUGCUUUGGAUUACAGGAAAGUAGUCAUUAUAUCGGAAAAAUUAAGGGAUCAGUCGGAUCGGUUAUUUGGAACCUUUGGAUCUAGGGGAUACAAGCCGAACCCAAAAAAGAAGUCUCUAGAUGCAUUGGUAAAAAAACUCAAGGAUGUGAACUGAUUAUAUGCAUUCCUGUACGCAUACCCAUUCCUGUAUAUCUUAUAUAGGCCAAGUGCAAUGCUAUCUUGAUGCCCACAAACUCAGUGAAAUUCCUUCCCCUCUUUUAUUUUCUCCUCCUACUGCCUGCCAUAUCCCUAGUUUCGUCUAGCGUGGGAUCCAACUGAAUCUCAACCAAUUCUCCUUGAUAAAGAAAGGCAAGUCACAGGUUCGGACUUUUAACUUCCUAGGCCAUGAUCAUGUGAGAUUUUCAUAUUGCAUAUUGAAAUAUGAAUGAAUUUUGUUGUUUUUUCACCUCUUAUAUGAAUUUACACAAUAAAAAUACCUAUUCAAUUGGUUUAUUUCUAAAGAGAAGUAGAAUGGGACUCUCUCCGUGAAGUUUUUGAGUUUCAGGAAAAUGAUAUGUAGAUUUCAUACAAAGGCAUUCUCAUCAUGUUAGUAGUCAAAGCUCCACAAAUCUACUCUUUUUGGGUGUUUUGGAAAGAUAAUUAAAAGUUGAUUUUUUAACUUUUUUUGAUUUCUUUUUU